GUGCGAAGGUAGCGCAAUCACUUGUCUUUUAAAUGGAGACCUGUAUGAAUGGCAUAACGAGGGCUUGACUGUCUCCUUUUUCCAGUCAAUGAAAUUGAUCUCCCCGUGCAGAAGCGGGGAUAAGCACAUAAGACGAGAAGACCCUGUGGAGCUUUAGACACUAGAACAGACCAUGUUAAACCCACCCUUGAUACAGGACUAAACGCGAUGAGACCUGUUCCCAUGUCUUUGGUUGGGGCGACCGUGGGGUAACAAAUAACCCCCAUGUGGACAGGGAGAACUUCUCCUAAAAGCAAGAACCGCAAUUCUAACUAACAGAAUUUCUGACCAAUAAGAUCCGGCAAUGCCGACCAACGGACCGAGUUACCCCAGGGAUAACAGCGCAAUCCCCUCUAAGAGACCCUAUCGAUGAGAGGGUUUACGACCUCGAUGUUGGAUCAGGACAUCCUGAUGGUGCAGCCGCUAUUAAGGGUU
rnacentral:rRNA from 1 species